rnacentral:rRNA from 1 species
AGAGUUUGAUCCUGGCUCAGAUUGAACGCUGGCGGCAUGCCUUACACAUGCAAGUCGAACGGUAACAGGUCUUCGGACGCUGACGAGUGGCGAACGGGUGAGUAAUACAUCGGAACGUGCCCAGUCGUGGGGGAUAACUACUCGAAAGAGUAGCUAAUACCGCAUACGAUCUGAGGAUGAAAGCGGGGGACCUUCGGGCCUCGCGCGAUUGGAGCGGCCGAUGGCAGAUUAGGUAGUUGGUGGGAUAAAAGCUUACCAAGCCGACGAUCUGUAGCUGGUCUGAGAGGACGACCAGCCACACUGGGACUGAGACACGGCCCAGACUCCUACGGGAGGCAGCAGUGGGGAAUUUUGGACAAUGGGCGAAAGCCUGAUCCAGCAAUGCCGCGUGCAGGAUGAAGGCCUUCGGGUUGUAAACUGCUUUUGUACGGAACGAAAAAGCUCCUUCUAAUACAGGGGGCCCAUGACGGUACCGUAAGAAUAAGCACCGGCUAACUACGUG